UACGGAAUGUGCAAACGUUAUUCGGAAUCACUGGGCUUAAAGAGUCCGUAGGCGGCCUGUUAGGUGAGGUGUGAAAUCCCCCGGCUCAACCGAGGAAUUGCGCUUCAAACCGGCAGGCUUGAGGAGGAUAGAGGUGGGCGGAACUGAUGGUGGAGCGGUGAAAUGCGUUGAUAUCAUCAGGAACACCGGAGGCGAAAGCGGUCCACUGGGUCCUUUCUGACGCUGAGGGACGAAAAGCUAGGGGAGCGAACGGG
rnacentral:rRNA from 1 species